UACGAAGGGUGCAAGCGUUACUCGGAAUUACUGGGCGUAAAGCGUGCGUAGGUGGUUUGUUAAGUCUGAUGUGAAAGCCCUGGGCUCAACCUGGGAACUGCAUUGGAAACUGGCUUACUAGAGUGCGGUAGAGGGGUGCGGAAUUCCCGGUGUAGCAGUGAAAUGCGUAGAUAUCGGGAGGAACAUCCGUGGCGAAAGCGACUUCCUGGACCAGUACCGACGUUCAGGCACGAAAGCGUGGGGAGCAAACAGG
rnacentral:rRNA from 1 species